CAGAGGAUUGGCGAUGCUUUAUUCUUUCAGAAGUCUUUCCUCCCUUCUCUUGGGAAACUCUACUCCGGGAGUGUUUACUGUCCCUGGGGAUGAAUUACAUCUUUGUACACUAGUUCUUUAGCGAUGUCAAGUUCACCUCGCUUCUCCACCCCCCUCUUCAGGUCAGCAUUUACAAAUAAACACUUUCCAUAUUUUAAAUUUUCUCUUUCCCUACUAGUUUUUAUGCGGUUUAGCAUCUCCAGUUUUUUCCCCUCCAGGUGGACUGGGAUUUAGUUUUGUAUUGGUCCCUCUUUUUGUUUUGUAAACGACUUUAUUGUUUGGGAAACCUUAGGGGAGGUGAACAAGCUCUUUGGUAAGUUCCAGUGGAUCUAUGGGAAUAACAAUGUGGAAUAUUUUACACAUUUUCUUCACUUUUAAAAAAAACUUUGACUUUUAUGUAUUCACUUCAAUUUAAGAAUCCUGACCUUGUAGCCUUUGUAAGCUAAGCCUUUAUUAUUAUUAUUAUUAUUAUUAUUAUUAUUAUUAUUAUUAUUAUUUCCUAAGCCUCACCAUCUUACACAUUUCUCCCUUUUCCUCCGCCCCCCUUUCUACCCCAGACUCCCCCCCUUUCUACCCCAGACUCUUCCAUCUCAGAAGUCACAUUCCUAUUCCUACACUGUCCCAAUUGGGGACACCUCCCUCUGCUUCCAAAGUCAGCUGAGAUAGGAAGGUCAGAGUGUCCUCCAACUUUUAAUUUUAGGUUGAAUUUCUUUUCAUUUGUCUGUUCUUUGGCACACAGAGUUGAAUUUUUAGUUCUUGUUGUUUUUUUUUUUUUCCCUUAAGUUUUAGAAAAAUGCAAGCAAGUUUCAUUUCUGCCUAUUGGGCCUUUUAUCUUCUGCGGGAGAACUCCCAGAAGAGAAAUACAGUGUUUACUUUCACUUUACAUUUGAUCAAGCUGGUGUCUGCAGAGGUGGGGGUAUUCCUUUUGUGUUUGUUUUUUAGACAACAUUUUACUAUGUAGCCCUGUCUGGCCUGAAAGUCAACUAUGUAGACCAGGCUGGCCUCCAACUCUCAGAGAUCACCUGCCUGUGCCUAUAUAAGUGCUGGGAUUAAAAAUGUAUGCCAUCACUCCUGGCUAAUUCUUCCUUUUUAAAGAUGUUACUAAGAAGGUAAACUGAUAAAUGUGAAAUCUAGAGUUCUAAUCUAUUCAGAAUUAUUGAAGCUACAAAAGUAAGAUUGCAAGAGUAACUCACGCUCUGGGAAGAUGGGAAGAUGGCCCAGGUGACUGUAUGUCCCUUGUGCCUCUGUGCUGGGCAGAAGAAGAGGAGCUGCUCCUCCCUCUGGUCCCAGCUCCAUUGUCACAUUGACAUUCUGGGCACAUGUGGCCCAGCCCCCACCGGCUCCUCCAAGUAUGAAUCUAAAUUACUAUUAAUAAGGGGCUGCUCCAAGCUAAUUGGCAUUAAAAGAAUUCAUUUCAAUUUGUUAAUAUUAAAUGAACACUCUGCACUUUAGCUCCCUUCCUCGCCCUGGAUUCCCAGAUGAGUGAUGGGAAGCAGGGCGGGGGAGCAGGCAGGAUUUUAUGUCUGGCUUUCUAGCUUGGCCACUGUUGGGCCUUCCCUGGUGUUGUGAGACCAGGCAAGGUGGAGGCCUGAUGGGGGGAAAUCCAAGGGUCUUAUUCUUUAUCAUCCUGUAAAGCGGGAGCUGUGGGUAAGGGUGAGUGAAGGGGGUCAAAAGAGAGACAUAAAAAGGUUUAGGGGAUAGUGUGGUGGAAAAAGUGGCUAGGAGACUGGGAAGGUAAGUCAAUGGGCUGAAUAGAAAUUUGAAAACACAAGGGUUGUGGGCAAUGGGUGAGAUGGAUUUAGGAAGAAAGGCCCGUGCAGCUGAAAAUCUGACCCCAGGCUUAGGGCAAGCAGCCGGGGUUUUGCAGCUGCUAGCAAGGGACCCUGGACUUUUCUAUCAUUUCAGUUUCUUGGUCUGUGAAGCAAGGAUUAUAAAAUGAAGGAUAUGUCUUAGGGUUGUCUGAGAUUCCAUGAAACACACAUGAUGUGUUCUGCAGCAUGCUGGGUACAUAGGUAACACUACUACAUGUUGCCUCACUUUCUGAUCCAGUAAUUGAUGGAUUGGACUCUCAGACCUGCCUUGAAUUAGUUGUAUGCUCUCCAAGCAAUUAUUUGAGCAGUGCAUGCCUGUUUUCUUAUUGGUAUCAGAGUCAAUAGCUUCUGGGCUCAGGCAUGGAAGAUAGAAGGGAAUUUCAGUGCAAAGUGCCUGGAACAACUCAAGUCUCAUCAUGCUACAUGAAAGCUGCUAUGGACAAUGUUGCCCUUUGGGUGAGCAAGGUGAGAAUAAGCAGGUUGAGAAGGCUCCCCACAGCUAUAUAAGGAGCUGCACAUUGAAAGUUGAGUUC
rnacentral:lncRNA from 1 species